CCGAGUUUACAACUCCCAAACCCCUGUGAACAUACCACUUGUUGCCUCGGCGGAUCAGCCCGCUCCCGGUAAAACGGGACGGCCCGCCAGAGGACCCCUAAACUCUGUUUCUAUAUGUAACUUCUAAGUAAAACCAUAAAUAAAUCA
rnacentral:misc_RNA from 1 species